rnacentral:misc_RNA from 1 species
GCCUCACCACUCUUCUUGUUGUGCUUCCUCGAGUACCUCUGGUUCCUGAGGAACUUUGGGUCCAUCCCCUUGGUGGAGGUCUGGCGGUGGCGCUUGGGCUUCUUGAUCCCGUUCUUGUGCGCCUUGUACGACUGGUUGUGCGCCGUGUGGUUCUUCGACUUGGCCAUCUCCCCCGAAUCCGAAACGAGCGCUCGCGAGGGAGGAGGAGACGAGCGGUUGAACGGCG